rnacentral:rRNA from 1 species
UACAUGUGGGGCAAGCGUUGUUCGGAAUUACUGGGCAUAAAGGGUGCGUAGGCGGCUUGUUAAGUCAGGGGUGAAAGUUUUCGGCCCAACCGGAAAAUUGCCUUUGAUACUGGCGAGCUCGAGUGCGUGAGGGGUAACCGGAACGAGCAGUGUAGCGGUGAAAUGCGUAGAUAUUGCUCGGAAGGCCAACGGCGAAGGCAGGUUACUGGUACGCAAC